rnacentral:rRNA from 1 species
UACGUAGGGGGCAAGCGUUGUCCGGAAUCAUUGGGCGUAAAGAGCGUGUAGGCGGUUCGGUAAGUCGGCUGUGAAAGUCCAGGGCUCAACCCUGGGAUGCCGGUCGAUACUGCCGGACUAGAGUUCGGAAGAGGCGAGUGGAAUUCCCGGUGUAGCGGUGAAAUGCGCAGAUAUCGGGAGGAACACCAAUGGCGAAGGCGGCCCGCUGGGCAGGAAGACGGGCGCAAGCCCGUCGGCUGACACUGAGGCGCGACAGCGUGGGGAGCAAACAGG